rnacentral:rRNA from 1 species
UACGGAGGGUGCAAGCGUUAUCCGGAAUCACUGGGUUUAAAGGGUGCGUAGGCGGCUUAGUAAGUCAGGAGUGAAAGCCUGCGGCUUAACCGUAGAAUUGCUUUUGAUACUGCUGAGCUUGAAUUAGGUUGAGGUAGGCGGAAUGGGACAUGUAGCGGUGAAAUGCAUAGAUAUGUCAUAGAACACCAAUUGCGAAGGCAGCUGACUAAGCCUUAAUUGACGCUGAGGCACGAAAGCGUGGGGAGCAAACAGG